CCAGCCAGAAAGAUUCUGCAGGCCAGAUUCUGCCCUCAUUUAUACUUGUGUCUUCAAUGGGUUUACACAGGUGGAACCGAGGGCAGAAUUUAGCCCUGCAAUUGCACCUUAAUUCAC
rnacentral:precursor_RNA from 15 species